GUCCCUAAAUCUUACUUAAGUGGAAAACGAUGUGAAGUUACUUAAACAACCAGGAGGUUGGCUUAGAAGCAGCCAUCCUUUAAAGAAAGCGUAAUAGCUCACUGGUCUAGUGAUUUUGCGCGGAAAAUAUAACGGGGCUAAAGUAAGUACCGAAGCUGUAGACUUGCACACAACUUAGAUUAUUUAAGUUUAGAAUAUGAGAAACUAAGUUAUAUGUUUAGUUAUAUUUUUACUGAUUUUUAUAGAGUAAAGAUAGAAAUAAAACUUAGUAAAAUCAGUAAAAAUAUUCUUAGACUAAAGUUAAGUAGUUUAAGUUGUGUGCAAGUGGUAGGAGAGCGUUCUAUUUGCGUCGAAGGUAUACCGGUAAGGAGUGCUGGAGCGAAUAGAAGUGAGCAUGCAGGCAUGAGUAGCGAUAAUUAAUGUGAGAAUCAUUAACGCCGUAAACCCAAGGUUUCCUACGCGAUGCUCGUCAUCGUAGGGUUAGUCGGGUCCUAAGUCGAGUCCGAAAGGGGUAGACGAUGGCAAAUUGGUUAAUAUUCCAAUACCAACAUUAGUGUGCGAUGGAAGGACGCUUAGGGCUAAGGGGGCUAGCGGAUGGAAGUGCUAGUCUAAGGUCGUAGGAGGUUAUACAGGCAAAUCCGUAUAACAAUACUCCGAGAACUGAAAGGCUUUUUGAAGUCUUCGGAUGGAUAGAAGAACCCCUGAUGCCGUCGAGCCAAGAAAAGUUUCUAAGUUUAGCUAAUGUUGCCCGUACCGUAAACCGACACAGGUGGGUGGGAUGAGUAUUCUAAGGCGCGUGGAAGAACUCUCUUUAAGGAACUCUGCAAAAUAGCACCGUAUCUUCGGUAUAAGGUGUGGUUAGCUUUGUAUUAGGAUUUACUCCGAAAGCAAGGAAA
rnacentral:rRNA from 1 species